rnacentral:ncRNA from 2 species
GUUCAUCUUCGGGGCAGGGUGUAAUUCCCGACCGGCGGUAAUGAAGUGUUUAACAUUUCUCAGCCCGCGAACCUUAACAGGUUGAUUUGGUGCAACUCCAAAGCCGACAGUAUAGUCUGGAUGGGAGAAGGUGAAG